rnacentral:rRNA from 1 species
UACGUAGGGUGCGAGCGUUGUCCGGAAUUAUUGGGCGUAAAGAGCUCGUAGGCGGUGUGUCACGUCGGUCGUGAAAACUUUCAGCUUAACUGGGAGCUUGCGGUCGAUACGGGCAUCACUGGAGUUCGGCAGGGGAGACUGGAAUUCAAGGUGUAGCGGUGAAAUGCGCCAGAUAUCUUGAGGAACACCGGUGGCGAAGGCGGGUUCUCUGGGACGAUCCUGACGCUGAGGAGCGAAAGGUCGUGGGGAGCGAACAGGAUUAGAACGUACCGUAGU